rnacentral:rRNA from 1 species
GACGAACGCUGGCGGCGUGCUUAACACAUGCAAGUCGAACGGAAAGGCCCUGCUUUUGUGGGGUGCUCGAGUGACGAACGGGUGAGUAACACGUGAGUAACCUGCCCUUGACUUUGGGAUAACUUCAGGAAACUGGGGCUAAUACCGGAUAGGAGCUCCUGCUGCAUGGUGGGGGUUGGAAAGUUUCGGCGGUUGGGGAUGGACUCGCGGCUUAUCAGCUUGUUGGUGGGGUAGUGGCUUACCAAGGCUUUGACGGGUAGCCGGCCUGAGAGGGUGACCGGCCACAUUGGGACUGAGAUACGGCCCAGACUCCUACGGGAGGCAGCAGUGGGGAAUAUUGCACAAUGGGCGGAAGCCUGAUGCAGCAACGCCGCGUGCGGGAUGACGGCCUUCGGGUUGUAAACCGCUUUCGCCUGUGACGAAGCGUGAGUGACGGUAAUGGGUAAAGAAGCACCGGCUUACUACGUG